AGAGUUUGAUCCGGGCUCAGGACGAACGCUGGCGGCGUGCCUAAUACAUGCAAGUAGAACGCUGAAGACUGGUGCUUGCACCUAGUCAGAUGAGUUGCGAACGGGUGAGUAACGCGUAGGUAACCUACCUCAUAGCGGGGGAUAACUAUUGGAAACGAUAGCUAAUACCGCAUGACAAUUAAGUACUCAUGUACUAAAUUUAAAAGGAGCAAUUGCUUCACUAUGAGAUGGACCUGCGUUGUAUUAGCUAGUUGGUGAGGUAACGGCUCACCAAGGCCACGAUACAUAGCCGACCUGAGAGGGUGAUCGGCCACACUGGGACUGAGACACGGCCCAGACUCCUACGGGAGGCAGCAGUAGGGAAUCUUCGGCAAUGUGGGCAACCCUGACCGAGCAACGCCGCGUGAGUGAAGAAGGUUUUCGGAUCGUAAAGCUCUGUUGUUAGAGAAGAACGGUAAUGGGAGUGGAAAAUCCAUUACGUGACGGUAACUAACCAGAAAGGGACGGCUAACUACGUGCCAGCAGCCGCGGUAAUACGUAGGUCUCGAGCGUUGUCCGGAUUUAUUGGGCGUAAAGCGAGCGCAGGCGGUUAUUUAAGUCUGAAGUUAAAGGCCGUGGCUCAACCAUGGUUCGCUUUGGAAACUGGAUAACUUGAGUGCAGAAGGGGAGAGUGGAAUUCCAUGUGUAGCGGUGAAAUGCGUAGAUAUAUGGAGGAACACCGGUGGCGAAAGCGGCUCUCUGGUCUGUAACUGACGCUGAGGCUCGAAAGCGUGGGGAGCAAACAGGAUUAGAUACCCUGGUAGUCCACGCCGUAAACGAUGAGUGCUAGGUGUUAGGCCCUUUCCGGGGCUUAGUGCCGCAGCU
rnacentral:rRNA from 1 species